rnacentral:tRNA from 1 species
GCCUCCGUAGCUCAGCGGCCAGAGCAACCGCCUUGUAAGCGGUAGGUCGUCGGUUCGAUCCCGACCGGAGGCU